rnacentral:rRNA from 1 species
GAUGAACGCUGGCGGCGUGCCUAAUACAUGCAAGUCGAGCGAACAGACGAGGAGCUUGCUCCGCUGACGUUAGCGGCGGACGGGUGAGUAACACGUGGAUAACCUACCUAUAAGACUGGGAUAACUUCGGGAAACCGGAGCUAAUACCGGAUAAUAUAGUGAACCGCAUGGUUCACUAGUGAAAGACGGUUUUGCUUUCACUUAUAGAUGGAUCCGCGCCGCAUUAGCUAGUUGUUAAGGUAACGGCUUACCAAGGCAACGAUGCGUAGCCGACCUGAGAGGGUGAUCCGACACACUGGAACUGAAAAACGGUCCAGAAUCCUACGGGAGGGAGCAGUAGGGAGUCUUCCGCAAUGGGCGAAAGCCUGACGGAGCAACGCCGCGUGAGGGAUGAAGGUCUUCGGAUCGUAAAACUCUGUUAUUAGGGAAGAACAAAUGUGUAAGUUAAUAUGCAUGUCUUGAAGGUACAUAAUCAGAAAGCCACGGCUAACUACGUG